GGGNCCAUAGCUCAGCUGGGAGAGCACCUGCUUUGCAAGCAGGGGGUCGGCGGUUCGAUCCCGCCUGGCUCCA
rnacentral:tRNA from 1 species